rnacentral:snRNA from 1 species
GGAUGUGAGGGUGAGCUGGCUUCGACAUCUGUCGCCCCAUUGAUCGCCAGGGUUGAUUUGACUGAUCUGGCUGGCUAGGCGGGUGUCCCCUUCCUCCCUCACUGCUCCAUGUGCGUCCCUCCCGAAGCUGUGCGCUCGCUCGCUCGGUCGAAGAGGACGACCUUCCCCGAAUAGAGGAGGACCGGUCUUCAGUCAAGGGUAUAGAGUAGCUGCGCUCCCCUGCUAGAACCUCCAAACAAACAUGCGGGAACCACCGAGGAAAGCUGGUGGCUUCAGUGUCUGGUAGAGGCACUUGUCACACU